UUUGUAGACCCUAAGACUAGCUAGAUGGACUGAUUAGGUCGGACCUCACAUCUCAGCUGAUGACUAGGAGGUGGUAGUUCCUAAUAUACCAUUAUUGAGAUAUCUAUUCACCAUCUUCCAUUAUUAUAUGUAUGCAAUGAGUCAAUAUACGAAAAGAUGAGUGGACACUAUCACUCUUUUUUUUUUUGGAAGUAAAUUCCAUCAUUGGUAAUGGAUGUAGACCAAAAUCUCUUCUAAUAGUUGAUAUUGUGACUUUGAAAAACUAUG
rnacentral:lncRNA from 1 species